CGCAGAUCUCGGCAGGGCCGUAGCUCCCCUCCGGGCCCUUCUGCUCGCGGCCGAGCACAAGGUGGGAGCGAGGGGGCGGCUGUGGGUGCAAACGGGGCUGCUGCGCCUGGAUAACAGCUUUUACGGCGCCCUCCUCCCCUCCAGCCCGCUAGCAAAUGCACGAUAUUGUAUCUGCCUCGGUCCUUGCAUUUUCUCUCUGACUCUCUUUACGCCUCGUCGCCAGCAGGUGCCGUCGCUGCGGGGCAAACGGCGGCAGCAGGACGGGCGCAGGCUGGUGGCGGCCGUCAGCGCUGGCGGGCGGCGGUGGCCCGGCCCCGGAGGACGCAGAAGGUCUCCCAGCGCCAGGCGUGCGGAGGCAGAGUUUCGGGUCCGCAACCUCGCGUGCAAGGCGAGCGGCCCGGCCGGUCCCCUCCCGCCGCGCAUCCGCGGCGUUUUGGCGAGCUCGGGCUCUGCAAGCGGGAUGUGGCGGCAGCAAGUGCCCGUCCCCGGGUCUCUAACCACAUGCAGCAGCAUCUUGCAGCCCGGCAGGCGCAGCGGGCAAGCGCGGCACAAGGCAGCGCUGCCAGGGCCACCGCGUCCCCCUGGGGAAGCGUCUCAGCCGGCACCUCAGCGCUGCCUCCCCAGCGGGUACGAGCUGGGGCGCAAGCGUCAAAACUCCCCAGCGCGACCUGCGCUGCCUACCAGGAGACACUGACACGCCGCCUGCCGAACGGGAAGGACACGUUGCCCAUGGCGGGGUUUGGCCGUCUGCCAUUCCUUUCUCGUCAGCGCUAGGUUUGCUAUGAUAAUUAGAUCUGACUUGUGCAUUAAUUUGUGCUAGUUAUUUACAAAAAUGUUUUGGAUAGUUGUCAUCGUUUUGCGCCAAAGUGCUAUCCGGCGGCAUCUGUCGGGUGGUAAUUCUCCGCAUGAUGGCGAUCCCAUCCGCACGGCGGGCCAGGAGGAAGACGCUGGCGAGGAAUAGUCUCUGAGAGCUAACGACUUCCUUGGGAAGUUAUUCCGGGGUC
rnacentral:lncRNA from 1 species